rnacentral:lncRNA from 10 species
UUCUUCCCUUACCAGCGGGGCAUUCCUAGAGGAAGGACGUAUACUGGUUAAACUCCGCCAUUUUGCCUCUUAGUGCGCAUGCUUGAACCUGCUCGACCCUGCUCGCCCAACUCCUGAGAUCUGAUUAUGAAGCUGCUAAUCACCACCUUCAGGAGAUCCAAGAACUGGAAUUGGGACCCCUUUCCAGUAACAUCUUUCUGGCAAACCAUGGAAGCAGUAAUACUGAAAAGACCCCUGACCCAAAGGAAAAUCAUCUGCGCACAACAGCAAUCGGCCAACUUUAGGUAUCACCUUUUGUCAGAACUCGGAAUUAUGAAUGGCUCUCAACAUACUGACGCUUUCUGACUGAGCUCCUCUCUACCCCAAAUACAAGAGACCCUAAAAGUUAGAAAGGAAUAUCAUCGCCCCUGUUCAGCAUGAAGAAGUUACAGAAGAUGCACUCUUGUCCCUCUGCAACCCUUAGGAUUAAAGGUUCUCUUAUAAAAGGGAGCAGAGAAAUGUCAGAGUUCUCUGAACCAGAGCAACUCUAUCUUGAGUAGGGGCUGGGUAAAAUAAGACUGAGACCUACUGGGCUGCAUUUCAAGAUGGUUAAGCAUUCUAAGUCACAGGAUGAGACAGGAGGUCAGGACAAGAUACAGGUCAUAAAGACUUCGCUGGUAAAACAGGUUGCAUAAAGAAGCCGGCUGAAACCCACCAAAAUCAGGAUGGCAGUAAGAGUGACCUCCAAUCGUCCUCACUGCUACACUCCCACCAGCUCCAUGACAGUUUACAAAGGCCAUGGCAAUGUCAGACAGUUACCCUAUAUGGUCGAAAAAGGGGAGGCAUGAAAAAAUCACCCCUUGUUUAGCAUAUAAUCAAGAAAUAACCAUAAAAAUGGGCAACCAGUGCCCUAAGGGCUGCUCUGCCUAUGGAGUAGCCAUUCUUUUAUUCUUUUACUUUCCUAAUAAACUUGCUUUCACUUAAAAAAAAAAAUUUCUCAAAAGUUCUCAUAACUAAAAUACAUUGAAAUAGUAGUUAACAUCUUCUCAAUGAAAACAGAAAACACCAGGCAAUGACAGUUUUACAGGACUGUUUUACCAAGAUUUCAAGGAAUACAUUAAUUCAAUUUUACAUAAACUCUUUCAGAGAACUGAAUAAUACAGAAUUUUCCCCACUGCUUCUACGGUCAUUAUAAACCUUAGAUACACAUGCAUGAAAGACACAGGUCUACUUUAUUCAUGAACAUACACAGAAAAAUCCUUUAAAAAAUUGUUAGGAGAAUCAGUCUACUAUGGGCCUUGUGCCUCCCUCUGCAUUCUUGGUUAGUGUGACUGAUUCCAAGGGUUAUCUGUCUCUUGAUACUGAGUAAUUUCUAUAAUUACUUAUAUAGGCAACUAAACAGGUCAAGGCAACCCAUCAUUACUAUCAUGUAACUGUUACCCUGGGGAAGCAAGACUAGUAGCUUUUCGCUAUUUUGCUACAAUAUUUGCUGCUUACUUAAAAAGUGCUGGACCCCAGACCUGGAUUACUCAAUUGCAUGCAAUACAAACUGACUGUGUACACAGCCUGCAUCUGGGCCCAUUUUGUAGCUUGAGUAAUAAUGUUCUUUUUCUCUGACCCAGGAAUCUUAUGUCUUCUGCCACCA